GACGAACGCUGGCGGCGUGCUUAACACAUGCAAGUCGAACGGAAAGGCCCUGCUUUUGUGGGGUGCUCGAGUGGCGAACGGGUGAGUAACACGUGAGUAACCUGCCCUUGACUUUGGGAUAACUUCAGGAAACUGGGGCUAAUACCGGAUAGGAGCUCCUGCUGCAUGGUGGGGGUUGGAAAGUUUCGGCGGUUGGGGAUGGACUCGCGGCUUAUCAGCUUGUUGGUGGGGUAGUGGCUUACCAAGGCUUUGACGGGUAGCCGGCCUGAGAGGGUGACCGGCCACAUUGGGACUGAGAUACGGCCCAGACUCCUACGGGAGGCAGAAGGGGGGAAUAUUGCACAAUGGGCGGAAGCCUGAUGCAGCAACGCCGCGUGCGGGAUGACGGCUUUCGGGUUGUAAACCGCUUUCGCCUGUGACGAAGCGUGAGUGACGGUAAUGGGUAAAGAAGCACCGGCUAACUAC
rnacentral:rRNA from 1 species